GGCAACCCGCUAGGGUCCCCUUGCACCCUGUGGGAGCUUUUUCUUUAACUCUUUGCAAUAAAUCUUGCUACUACUCACUUUUUAGGUCCCCACUGCUUUUAUGAGCUGUAACACUUGCCGCCAAGGUCUGCAGCUUCACUCCUGAAGCCAGCGGGACCACGAGCCCACUGGGAGGAACGAACAACUCCAGAGGCCCUGCUUUAAGAGCUGUAACACUCCCCGCCAAGGUCUGCAGCUUCACUCCUGAGCCAGCGAGACCAUGAACCCACCAGAAGGAAGAAACUCCCAACACAUCCGAGCAUCAGAAGGAACAAACUCCAGACGCGCCACUUAAGAGCUGUAACACUCACUGCGAGGGUCCGUGGCUUCAUUUUUGAAGUCAGUGAGACCAAGAACCCACCAAUUCCGGACACACCGGCACUUUGGGAGGCUGAAGCAGGAGGAUCACGAGGUAAGGAGUUCGAGACCAGCCUGGCCAACACAGUGAAACCCUGUCUCUACUAAAAAUACAAAAAUUAGCUGGGCGUGGUGGUGGGUGCCUGUAAUCCCUGCUACUCAGGAGGCUGAGGCAGGAGAAUUGCUUGAACUUGGGAGGGGGAGGUUGCAGUGAGCCGAGAUCAUACCACCACACUCCUGCCUGGGCGACUGGGUGAGACUCCAUCUCAAAAAGAAAAAGGAAGGAAAAGAUAGUACUAAAUAUAGAUAAAGAAGUCACAAAAUAUGCAACCAGUUAGAUUAAACUCAUCAAAAGUAAACUGACGCAUAAAACUAUUUUUUAAAUCCCACCUAUUAAAUUGUGAAGUUAUAUGAUUGCCAUUAUCAUGGUAAACAGAAUUAUUAUUAACUGCAACACUUUAGAUCCCAGAGGUGGCAUAUGCUCUCAAUUUUACCAAUAAAAAAAUCUGCAAGUGUGGAAAUAAGUAGGUUUUUUCCUCCAAAGAUUAUUAAGUAUUU
rnacentral:lncRNA from 1 species